rnacentral:ncRNA from 2 species
UUUAAUAUUGAAAAUAUGGGUUUAAUCAAAUUUUAAAAUUGAUUAAUUAAAAGGGAAUCAGGUGAAAUUCCUGAACUAUCCCGUAGCUGUAAUAGAUGAAUUUAAGUACAUAUUAGCCACUUGGUUACAGGGAAGGCGUAUUUAAAUGUUGAUUCUUGAGUCAGAAGACCUGCCUAUAUUUCACACCAUUA